GAUGAACGCUCGGCGGCGCGCCUAACACAUGCAAGUCGAACGGCACCCACCGUCCGGGUGGGAAGCGAGUGGCGAACGGCUGAGUAACACGUGGAGAACCUGCCCCCUCCCCUGGGAUAGCCGCCCGAAAGGACGGGUAAUACCGGAUACCCCGGGGUGCCGCAUGGCGCCCCGGCUAAAGCCCCGACGGGAGGGGAUGGCUCCGCGGCCCAUUAGCUUGUUGGCGGGGCAACGGCCCACCAAGGCGACGAUGCGUAGCCGGCCUGAGAGGGCGGGCGGCCACACUUGGGACUGAGACACGGCCCAG
rnacentral:rRNA from 1 species